AUUGAACGCUGGCGGCAUGCCUUACACAUGCAAGUCGAACGGUAACAGGUCUUCGGAUGCUGACGAGUGGCGAACGGGUGAGUAAUACAUCGGAACGUGCCCGAGAGUGGGGGAUAACGAGGCGAAAGCUUUGCUAAUACCGCAUACGAUCUCAGGAUGAAAGCAGGGGACCGCAAGGCCUUGCGCUCACGGAGCGGCCGAUGGCGGAUUAGGUAGUUGGUGGGAUAAAAGCUUACCAAGCCGAGGAUCUGUAGCUGGUCUGAGAGGACGACCAGCCCAACUGGGACUGAGAAACGGCCCAGACUCCUACGGGGGGCAGCAGUGGGGAAUUUUGGACAAUGGGCGCAAGCCUGAUCCAGCCAUGCCGCGUGCAGGAUGAAGGCCUUCGGGUUGUAAACUGCUUUUGUACGGAACGAAAAGACUCUGGUUAAUACCUGGGGUCCAUGACGGUACCGUAAGAAUAAGCACCGGCUAACUACGUGCCAGCCGCCGCCGUAACAC
rnacentral:rRNA from 1 species